CAAGAUCCUUCCCUAGGAAGCUCCCCAAGGAAGGGAUUCUUCUGCUUGGAUUUCUUCAGAUCUCAUUGGGAUCGUGUGUUUAAAACCCCAUAGUGCAGUCCAAUUAGAAGCACUUUGCCUUUGAUGGGCUUGGAUGGAGGUUAUUUAACAGAAAUAAUUGAAUAGCACCAGUGGACAGUCAGCCGUUUGCUGUGAAUCUAGAAGUCUGGAGAACAGCAGGACACUGCUGCUGAGUUCAAACAGCUUACUAUUAUCUGGACAUGAGGGCUGUGUUUCAUUUCUGUGCUUAAGAAGAGGCCAAAAAAAGCACACAUCUUACUUCUGACUUUAAAGAUGAAUGGCAGGCUGCAAGUUUCUGCAGGCUCGCUUUCAGGAAGGAAAUCUUCCAUGCCAGGAGCAGAAAGGAGGGGUGACACAAAGAUGGAGUGUGACUUCCUGCGUUCCAGAGAGCACGCCGGGUGCUGGGGCUGAGGCUGGCUUCGUGUCACAGGGGUAUGCUCCAUAACUCACAACACAAAUGUUCGUGGAGGAAGUGUCUCAGAGAGUGUUUCUGUCCCCUUGUUCUUCGUUGAGCAGAUAUUUCAUCUGCUCUCAGGAGGGAAGCAGAGCCCAAUGGAGAGCCUAACAGAACGCAGCAUGGAUAAUCCUGAGCUGUGCCCCGAGUCCUUGCUUGUUGGAGCGCAGACUGAGUUUGUGACUGCUCAGUUUAUUUCACUCUGUGCUGCUGUCUCGUUCUGAGGUAGAUCCAAAAUGGCACCAAUGAAGUAGAAAUGAUCCAAAUGAUGGAACAUCUCAUGGCAACGGCUUCUUCUGGAGGGCAUUUGGCAGCUCUGUCACAGCCAUGGGAGGGCUGAUGUGCAGCUGCCACGUUGCUCAGAAGUCACACUGGAGGACUUUAAAGGUGUGCGUGCAUGUGACUUCAAUUCCUUUGAUUUCAGCUCCGUGGUUGUGAAAUAACUUUCAGUGGGGAUUUCAUGUCAGCUAAGUUUAGCUCUUGGCUGUUGAGAGGAAGAGGGACUACACUGAUGGCUCUGCAAAUGAGCUCUGGGUUGAGUAGGGAAGGAAAAUGGACCUGGCACCUGAACUGACCUCCCCCAGCGCAGUCCUCAGGUCCUCACCUGAGAUGCUGAAAUCUGUAUUGAUAUUGUCAUCUAUAUCUCAACAUAUGUAACUUUUCCAUGCUUGCAGAGAAACAAAUGGAGUUUUUUUUUCGUCAUCUGCAUUCCAGCAAUCAUCAGAGAGCCCCUGGCUCCCAGAAGCUCUCCCUGGUGUUUGGAGCAAUUAAAUGCACAGAAUGCCCAUAGCUUUGUAACAGAGGGGAAUCAUUAUGGGGAAUCAUUAUUGCAUUGGUGUGAUUUUGCUAGUGCUGCAACCCAUUCUUUGCAGCCUAAAGCACGGGGCACAGGCAGCCCAAUGGGAAAGGUAGGGAAACAGUGGAAGGAAAGCAUGUGCAGGAGCUUUCUGCAUUUGGGAUGUAUCACACGUAGUGGUGGAGCUGUGCUAAUCAAGAUCUGGAGAAUCUGGUUCCCCAUCUGAAGUGAGCAUCCCUUUUGUAUUAGUCCCUGAAGUUAUUUUAACUCGCGUUGACACAAAUUAAACAGGAAUCUUGCUGUCCAUUGAUUUUGUCAGCGGUGUGUUUUUUU
ensembl:lncRNA